CCUACGGGAGGCAGCAGUGGGGAAUAUUGCACAAUGGGCGCAAGCCUGAUGCAGCCAUGCCGCGUGUAUGAAGAAGGCCUUCGGGUUGUAAAGUACUUUCAGCGGGGAGGAAGGCGAUGCGGUUAAUAACCGCGUCGAUUGACGUUACCCGCAGAAGAAGCACCGGCUAACUCCGUGCCAGCAGCCGCGG
rnacentral:rRNA from 1 species